CCUUACUGGGUAUAUUUUAUAUACUAACUAUUUUCUAUAUUUAAUAUUCCAAGUAAAGGUAGAUGAUCUGGAAAGCUAGUGAGCCACAGAAAGGACCCGUGGCAUGCCAUAUGGGGCUCGUUCUGUUUCUGCGUUUAUUUUUUUUCUUUAGUUUUUUAUAUAUUUUGAUUUUAGUAAUUUUAUUUAAGGUUUUGUCUCAUAAUUUGUUUAUCUUUCUUCAUUUAAAAAGUGUUAAAACCCACGUGUCAUCUUUUCACAGUAUUUUUGCUAUUUAUUUUUACAAAUUUUAUGUCUUUGGAAGAUAUAUUUUAUAAGAAUUUAGUUUUCCUCUCUUAAGAAAGUGUCGUCUGUUAAUUUUCCUUUUCAAUAAUAACCUUAGUUUAGCUUAAAA
rnacentral:lncRNA from 1 species